rnacentral:misc_RNA from 1 species
GUACACCAGCAGCUCAGUUACAGGUGAAUAUGUGCUGGACCUUCAUAACAUGAUAAAUUUGAAAAGCUAUACUGUGAAAAUAGUCAAUCAUUACGUGCUUGUCUAGGAAAAUGGUCUUUUGAAGAACACUUUCGUGACAUUCAAACAAUAAUUGCACCGUGCAUUAUGAAUCUCACAUUUUGAAGAUAAAAUUUUUUCUUCAAGGAUGGAGACCUUGCUAGAAUUGACUAGCAUUUGAAUCUUCACAAUGUUUCUCAAAAUCAAGAUAUGCGGAAUGUAGUAUUUAUACUCUACUAAUAUUUUACUGUCAUGCAUGCGGUAAUGGCUUUGUAUAUGUGAUUACAUGUUAGAGAAUGUCCCUUAAAAAGGAGAGUCAGUUUUAUUAUCUGUCAAGCAUUCCUGUUGAGCCCUUUAUUGUUUGCACCAUUGUGAGAUCAAGACAUGAAUCGUUGAUUGUAAUUAACAGCUAAGAUAUUAAAGGGUUCGAUUACUUGUGCAGGAAUUAGAGCAAUACAGUCUG